rnacentral:rRNA from 1 species
UACGUAGGGACCAAGCGUUGUUCGGAUUUACUGGGCGUAAAGGGCGCGUAGGCGGCAAUUCAAGUCAGCUGUGAAAUCUCCGGGCUUAACUCGGAACGGUCAGCUGAUACUGUUUUGCUAGAGUACAGAAGGGGCAAUCGGAAUUCUUGGUGUAGCGGUGAAAUGCGUAGAUAUCAAGAGGAACACCUGAGGUGAAGACGGGUUGCUGGGCUGAUACUGACGCUGAGGCGCGAAAGCUAGGGUAGCAAACGGG